AAAAGGAGGCGGUUGAUUGAUAAACAGCCCAUUGGCAGUAGUGCAGGUGAUUCGAGUGGGAGCCAUGAUCUUGAAACACAACUCAAGCUUUAUGGUACGGGUUUCAAAGAACUCAAGUGGGUUUUUCUUUUCUUUUCCUUUUUUUUCCACUUUUCUUUCUGGAAGACUUUGAAAUGGCAUUCGGAGUACUCCUGCAGGAGGCUCUCUGAACCAGGCCUUAAUUAGACCUGCUAGGCAAUGAACAUCAAUGUCAUCAGUGUCAAUUGAUUUCUUUGCAUUCUUUGCAAUUGCCAAUGUAUAAUUUUACAUCACAAGUGUUGAAUGAACAUCUGGCUAUGGGGAAGGUGGAUGAGUUGCAUCCUGACUUGACAGUAGACACUCUUGGAAUCUUGCAUCCUGCAAACAAAUUAAUUCAUCAACUUCCAAUGGUCAGUGCAUACUCAUCCUUUGUAAGGAUGGUGGGAGUUGGAAUUGGUUUGGAGCAACAAAGAAGGAAAAU